UACGAAGGGGGCUAGUGUUGCUCGGAAUCACUGGGCGUAAAGCGCACGUAGGCGGGUCUUUAAGUCAGGGGUGAAAUCCUGGAGCUCAACUCCAGAACUGCCUUUGAUACUGAAGAUCUUGAGUUCGGGAGAGGUGAGUGGAACUGCGAGUGUAGAGGUGAAAUUCGUAGAUAUUCGCAAGAACACCAGUGGCGAAGGCGGCUCACUGGCCCGGUACUGACGCUGAGGUGCGAAAGCGUGGGGAGCAAACAGG
rnacentral:rRNA from 1 species